AAACCCUGAGCCCCCAGGGAUGGGCCAGAGCUGUCUUGCCCAACUUUCUCACUUUCAGGUUGUCCCAAUUAGAAGCACUUAUACAGGGAUUAUCCCUGAUUUUCACCUGGGCACUUCAGGGUCUAAUUUCUACCAGAAAUAGCAGCUCUGGCAAGGCUACCCAUUCUGACCUCUUAAAGCUUGUUUUUAUUUCUUCUUUUUCUUCCCUGCAUAACUCUGGGUGGAGGUGUUCAGGAAUCUCCUUCUGAUACCUUUCUUUCAAAGCAAACCCUCAGGACUUGCAGACCUUGCCAGGGUUGAUAAAUGCCUGAUCAUUUUGCUGCACUGUGAGCCAGCAGACUUGGGAGCAGAGAAGGAUCCUACAGGACUGGAAAAUUUCACUUUUUGCUUAAGCCCAAGGAGGCCAAAGGAGGCCCAGUCUGAGCCCCCCUGCCUGUGCCCUGAGUGAUUCCAUGUGAACCCAAGAGGUUGUGCACCCCUUGCUUUCCAAAUGAAUUCCAUCCGUAGGUGGCUGUUUAUACAGGUUUCGUUUGCCUCCCAUGAAGACAGAUGUUGUUCCAGCUUCCACUGCCAUCUCAGUGGGUUAGACAUGAGCUUCCCUGGUGAAUAAAAAACAAAUUGGAAAAUGUUUAACUUGGGUUCCCAUUCCAGAGCAACUGCAGUGGGAUGAGUCAGGCACUGCAGCCACAGGAUAAUGAAGGAGAAUGUGUAUUUUAAUGAGCCCAUUUCAGAGCAGAUGCACUAAUAGCUUUCACAGCAUCUCACAGCUGAGAGUGGGGCGCUGCUCAGGGUUCAUCUGUUCCUGUGGUGGCCAGGUGGCACCAGAGAUGCUCUGCACUGAGCCCUGGCUUUCACCCUGGGCAAGCAGUGCUGCUUGUGCUGUAGUUGGGGCAGAGAGGGACCUGCAGCCCCUGCCUGGGGGCAUCUUCCCUCUGCAUCCAGCUCAGGGAUGCUCACAGACAUCUCUGGCUGCUGACUGUGCACAGUAUGGGUAUGGACAGCCCGAGCUGAAGCUGCUCUACUCAUGGGUCCCUUC